AUUGAACGCUGGCGGCAGGCCUAACACAUGCAAGUCGAGCGAGUGGCGGACGGGUGAGUAAUGUCUGGGAACCUGCCUGAUGGAGGGGGAUAACUACUGGAAACGGUAGCUAAUACCGCCUACCCUCGUAUUUGCCCAGAUGGGAUUAGCUAGUAGGUGGGGUAAAGGCUCACCUAGGCGACGAUCCCUAGCUGGUCUGAGAGGAUGACCAGCCACACUGGAACUGAGACACGGUCCAGACUCCUACGGUAGGCAGCAGUGGGGAAUAUUGCACAAUGGGCGCAAGCCUGAUGCAGCCAUGCCGCGUGUAUGAAGAAGGCCUUCGGGUUGUAAAGUACUUUCAGCGGGGAGGCGUUACCCGCAGAAGAAGCACCGGCUAACUCCGUGCCAGCAGCCGCGGUAAUUC
rnacentral:rRNA from 1 species